rnacentral:rRNA from 1 species
CGCGAUAGGUCAUUUCUUCUGGAAUGGGUAAUGACCCAAAUCUAUAUGGCCCCUGGAUUGGACUGCGGCCGAUCAGGCUGUUGGUGAGGUAAUGGCCCACCAAACCUGUAACCGGUACGGGCUCUGAGAGGAGGAGCCCGGAGAUGGGCACUGAGACAAGGGCCCAGGCCCUAUGGGGCGCAGCAGGCGCGAAACCUCUGCAAUAGGCGAAAGCUUGACAGGGUUACUCUGAGUGAUUUCCGUUAAGGAGAUCUUUUGGCACCUCUAAAAAUGGUGCAGAAUAAGGGGUGGGCAAGUCUGGUGUCAGCCGCCGCGGUAAUACCAGCACCCCGAGUGGUCGGGACGUUUAUUGGGCCUAAAGCAUCCGUAGCCGGUUCUACAAGUCUUCCGUUAAAUCCACCUGCUUAACAGAUGGGCUGCGGAAGAUACUAUAGAGCUAGGAGGCGGGAGAGGCAAGCGGUACUCGAUGGGUAGGGGUAAAAUCCGUUGAUCCAUUGAAGACCACCAGUGGCGAAGGCGGCUUGCCAGAACGCGCUCGACGGUGAGGGAUGAAAGCUGGGGGAGCAAACCGGAUUAGAUACCCGGGUAGUCCCAGCUGUAAACGAUGCAGACUCGGUGAUGAGUUGGCUUAUUGCUAACU